rnacentral:rRNA from 1 species
UUUAGAACCGUCGUGAGACAGUUCGGUCCCUAUCUGCCGUGGGCGCUGGAGAACUGAGGGGGGCUGCUCCUAGUACGAGAGGACCGGAGUGGACGCAUCACUGGUGUUCGGGUUGUCAUGCCAAUGGCACUGCCCGGUAGCUAAAUGCGGAAGAGAUAAGUGCUGAAAGCAUCUAAGCACGAAACUUGCCCCGAGAUGAGUUCUCCCUGAGACUUUAAGUCUCCUGAAGGAACGUUGAAGACGACGACGUUGAUAGGCCGGGUGUGUAAGCGCAGCGAUGCGUUGAGCUAACCGGUACUAAUGAACCGUGAGGCUUAACCUUACAACGCCGAAG